UCAAAGGUAUUUUUAAAGACCACAUCUUUGUCCAAAACGGUUAUUAU
rfam:Leersia perrieri chromosome 3, whole genome shotgun sequence.